UGCAACCUGAACUCAGGCGUGAUUACCCGCUGAACUUAAGCAUAUCAUUUAGCGGAGGAAAAGAAACUAACAAGGAUUCCCUUAGUAACGGCGAGUGAACGGGGAGAAGCCCAGCGCUGAAUCUUUCGAUGUUACAUCGUAAAGAAAUGUAGCGUAUAGGUGUGAUUUUCAGUUUGUGCUACAUGUCCAAAGUCCCUUUGAUAGGGGCCAUAUUCCCGAGAGGGUGCGAGACCUGUGCGGACAGUGGAGCAAGCUGUACGAUCAUACCUUAGAGUCGGGUUGCUUGAAAGUGCAGCCUAAAGUGGGUGAUAAACUUCAUCUAAGGCUAAAUAUAGACGCGAAUUCGAUAGCAAACAAGUACUGUGAAGGAAAGUUGCAAAGAACUUUGAAGAGAGAGUUCAAGAGAACGUGAAAUCGCUGGAGUGGAACCGGAGAGAGUCGAUGUAGCCGGGUAACUAAGUUUCCUAAGGUCGCUUAAUUGUGGCUGCAGGUGAUGUAUGUUGCCUAUGGCUGCGCUGACAGCGCUGGCUAUGCGUUCUGACCCGUUUGCGUUGCCCACUUCGGUGGUGUCUUGCCUACGGUUAAGUUUGUCAUGGCUAGCGUUUUAUUCUGCAUGCAGAGUGUCAGUGUGAAAGUCGACCACCUCUCCGACCCGUCUUGAAACACGGACCGAGGAGUGUAACUUGUACGCGAGUCAAAGGGUGGUAAAACCCCAAGGCGUAAUGAAAGUAAAGGUCGGUUAACCGGCUGACAUGGGAUCUACUUUUCGAAGUAGCGCACCAUGGCCCUGUCUUGUCUGCAUGCAGAUGGGCAGCGGUAGAGCGUACAGGUUGCGACCCGAAAGAUGGUGAACUAUGCCUGAGCAGGACGAAGUCAGAGGAAACUCUGGUGGAAGUCCGUAUCGGUUCUGACGUGCAAAUCGAUCGAUAGACUUGGGUAUAGGGGCGAAAGACUAAUCGAACCAUCUAGUAGCUGGUUCCCUCCGAAGUUUCCCCCAGGAUAGCUGGAGUUCAUUGCGGUUAUAUCCGGUAAAGCGAAUGAUUAGAGGACUUGGGGUCGAAACGACCUCAACCUAUUCUCAAACUUUCAAUGGGUAUGUUGUCUCGGUUUCUUUGUUGAACUGUUGACACGAACGCGAGCUCCAAGUGGGCCAUUUUUGGUAAGCAGAACUGGCGCUGUGGGAUGAACCAAACGUUGGGUUAAGGUGCCUAACUUUUCGCUCAUGAGACCCCAUAAAAGGCGUUGGUUGAUAUAGACAGCAGGACGGUGGCCAUGGAAGUCGGUACCCGCUAAGGAGUGUGUAACAACUCACCUGCCGAAUCAACUAGCCCUGAAAAUGGAUGGCGCUUGAGCGAGAGACCUAUACCCAGCCGUUGCUGGCUUGUGCGUUGUCUAACGCCUGGCCGCAACGAGUAGGAGGGUCGUGGCGGUUGCGUCGAAGGCUUUGGGCGUAGGCCCAGCUGGAGCUUCCGUCAGUGCAGAUCUCGGUGGUAGUAGCAAAUAUUUAAGUUCGAUCCUUGAAGACUGAAGUGGAGAAGGGUUCCACGUGAACAGUAGUUGAAUGUGGGUCAGUCGAUCCUAAGAUACUGGCUUAUGCCUUGUAUCAUCGAGAGGGAAAAGUCUCUUUUCUCUCGGAUAUCAAAAGGGAAUAGGGUUAAUAUUCCCUAACGCAGACACAGAGAUUGUGGCUCGUUGAGUCACUUGCGCGGUAACGCAUUCGAACUUGGUUACGUCGCUCAGAGACCGAGCUAGAGUUCUCUUCUCUAGUUAAGGAACGGACUCCCUGGAAUCGGUUCAGCCGUAGAUAGGGACGUUGUUUCCGUAAAGCAUCGCGGUUUCUGUGAUGUCUCGUGUUCUCUGGACGGCCCUUGAAAAACCAAGGAAGGCUAUUAAUCUGUGCUGCAUCGUACCGAUAUCCGCAUCAGGUCUCCAAGGUGAACAGCCUCUAGUCGAUAGAAUAAUGUAGGUAAGGGAAGUCGGCAAAUUAGAUCCGUAACUUCGGGAAAAGGAUUGGCUCCAGUGACCGGGUCGGUUGGCCUGUUAACUGAUGCUUGUGCGGUUUCGUCCGUGGCUGGCUGAUGCUCACGCUGAUGCUGGACUAGUGACAAGACUGCCUUGUGGACGUUUUCAGGUGUGUGCUUUGUCUUCGGGCUUAGUAUCCUGACCGACCAUCAAAACGGUCGAACUGGAACUGGUACGGACUCGGGGAAUCCGACUGUCUAAUUAAAACAGAGGAGACAGAUGGUCCUUGCGGACGUUUACUGUCUCUGAUUUCUGCCCAGUGCUCUGAAUGUUAAAUCGUAGUAAUUCGAGUAAGCGCGGGUAAACGGCGGGAGUAACUAUGACUCUCUUAAGGUAGCCAAAUGCCUCGUCAGCUAACUACUGACGCGCAUGAAUGGAUUAACGAGAUUCCCACUGUCCCUAACUACUAUCUAGCGAAACCACAGCCAAGGGAACGGGCUUGGCAAAAAUAGCGGGGAAAGAAGACCCUGUUGAGCUUGACUCUAGUUUGACAUUGUGAAGAGUCAUGAGAGGUGUAGCAUAGGUGGGAGACUUCGGUCGCCAAUGAAAUACCACCACUUUCAUCGAUUCUUUACUUAUUCGGUGAGAAGAGGAUUGAGUUUCGGCUCUUUUUUCUUUGUCUUAAGCAAAGCCACCUGGUGGCAUUGCGACUCUCGCCGAAGACAGUGUCAGGCG
rnacentral:rRNA from 1 species